rnacentral:rRNA from 1 species
GACGAACGCUGGCGGCGUGCUUAACACAUGCAAGUCGAACGGAAAGGCCCUGCUUGCAGGGUACUCGAGUGGCGAACGGGUGAGUAACACGUGGGUGAUCUGCCCUGCACUUCGGGAUAAGCCUGGGAAACUGGGUCUAAUACCGGAUAGGAGCCAUUUUUAGUGUGAUGGUUGGAAAGUUUUUUCGGUGUAGGAUGAGCUCGCGGCCUAUCAGCUUGUUGGUGGGGUAAUGGCCUACCAAGGCGGCGACGGGUAGCCGGCCUGAGAGGGUCGACGGCCACAUUGGGACUGAGAUACGGCCCAGACUCCUACGGGAGGCAGCAGUGGGGAAUAUUGCACAAUGGGCGCAAGCCUGAUGCAGCGACGCCGCGUGGGGGAUGACGGCCUUCGGGUUGUAAACUCCUUUCGCUAGGGACGAAGCUUUUUGUGACGGUACCUAGAUAAGAAGCACCGGCUAACUACGUG